CUGAGAACGACCUGGCACCAAGCCUACAGCUAGUAAGUGCAAAGCAGAACCUCAGCCCCAGGUCUUUUAAAUCCCACCUGCCUGCCCUCAGCCCUUCCCUUGAAGCUAUAUCAUGGAUUUGUUUUAUCCCGAGUCAGAUCACAUUAGGAUACUUCUUAUAGCAUUCAUUUAUGAACAAGUACACAACAUCCCAACUUAUUUCAUUUUUGAGCUCUUCAUUACCUGAUAUGGAAAUGCAAUAACCAUUUGUUUGCAGGUAUUGUAGGGAAUAGACAGAUAAAUGUUAAGACACAGUUCACUAUCCCCUACUAGGACAAAUCAUGGGCACAGCCCAGUUAGGAGGUAAGGCUUAUAGAGAGCUCUCACGUAGUUGGUCAGUGUAUGUCUUCAAGCACACUUGUAGGUGAGAGCAGGGAACUAAGAAGCUUGAAGGAAGACCUCGUGAAGGAGGUGGCAUUUGCAAUAAGUCUUUAGGGUUGCCAUUUUGGCAGGUGGAAAAGCAUAGGAAUUUCACUAGAUGCAAGGUCCAGUUGAAGAUUCAAGAUGAGACACAUAAAUAGGAGGCAAUGAAGGCAUAGGAAUUUCCAAGUUGGGAAGUACUGUGAUCAGAACUGAACUCCAGGAGGAAGAUUAGAAGAUGAAACUGAGUGAGAGAAGACUGGAGUCGGGGAUAUCAGGUAGGAGGGUUUGAUCCUGGUUAGGAUGAGAUGAGAGGAGGACCCAGAGAAGGGUGUAAUAAAACCUAGAGAGACCAAUGUGAAGGAUGUUGCUGAAGUGGAAUCAGUAAGGCUUGGUGGUUGUAAUUGCUUUUGGGGGGUAAUGAGGGACAAGGUGUUAAAGCUAGAUGCCUGAAAAAAUGAUGCUGUGAUUGAAAUACAGGGAGGAAUGGUAUUUGGGCUCUGACCUAGGAAAGGCCUAGACAAACUAAUGCUACUGCCAGCCUCUCAGCCAGGACCUCCACUCAUCUUUUCUUGGGCUAUCAAAUCUUUGCUCUGAUGUUUGUCUCUCCACCUGCGUGUGUUGUGUUGUCACUUUCCACCUGUUCAUCUGACACUAUCCCCUCCCUGCUGGGUCCUGGGUCACCCCUCUCAUUUAACACUGCCUCUGCCAUCAAUACUUCCAUUGCAGCCUGUGGUGUGCCAUUCACCAUCUCUUAGACUGGCUCCAUGCUAGAACAAUCAGAAAAGGUACCAAGGAGCAUUGGCUGGGAGGAGUUGGUAUUCCUGUGUAUGCUUCUCACAGCCUCUUUACAAAAAUCAAACAUGGAAUCCUACACUAUGAUGCAUCAAAGAUUUAGGAAAUAUCUUAGGAUUUUGCAUGGAGAAUCUUAAGAUGUGUUUUCAUUUUGUUUCAGAAGAGACUAGCAGAGCAGAGGAAGAGAGGUGGCAUGGUGGGAGAGUGCAUUUGAGUUGUCAACAGUUUCUGCAGUGUCAGGUCAAUUAUAUCAGCACUUGGUCUGGACCAGAGGAAAGGAAUGAUUUUGCCUCCUGGGAAUGUCAGAACGACCUGAUAAUUAUAUUUGGCAAAGCCACGAGGAAUGGCUCUGUAAUGUCAUUGCUAAGAAUGACCCUUUUAAUAGCAUUUCUGGAUGCCUGAGCUUUUCAGACGAAUGACACUUCAUUUCUACUGUGGCUUUCCUUUCUGUUGGACUGGUUCCCAGUUGGUCCUAUUGUUCUUUUCCCUUGCUUUGACAUCAGUCUGGGUUUUCUCUUCUGUCUUACUUCCCCACCCUGUUUCUUUAGCCCCUUCUGUAUUUAGAGCAUCUUCCCCUCUCCCGUUUGGAGGUGGAAGCAUGUGAGAAUGUGUGGGGAAUGCUUGCCAAAGGACAGCAUGGUUAGCAUCCAGUAUCAACAAGGUAACUUUGAGCCUUAGCUAGCCAAAUCAUGGAUGACUCAUUUCCAUGCUCCACCUGAUACUUUUGUGUUAGUGGGACUCAGAACGUGGGAAAGGUCAUCAGUGACCUGUGACUGCAACAGAUUCUUUUUCCAGUUGUGCCAUAUAUUAUGCCCUUCAGUACAAUCUACUAAUCCCUGUCUCAGUUUCUCCAUCUGUGAAAGUGUUGUAAUACUUAUCUACCUCCCUUGAAUGUUGUGAAGAUUAGUAUAUGUUGGUAAAG
rnacentral:lncRNA from 1 species